rnacentral:lncRNA from 1 species
CUUAGACUGUCAAACUCUGCUGUGUCCAUUCCCACUCGGCCUCUGGCUGCUCCUGGUGGGAGCACUGACAAGGCUGAGGAGAUAACAACAGAUAACGUCUGCUUUACAGAUGAGGGAGCUGGGGCUCAGGGAGGCCUGGACACAGCCCAGGGCCACACUGCUGGGAGGUUGGCCCUCAAUGGCAUUUAGACCUGAAUCCAACCCAGAUCUCUUCCCUGGGUGCCACAGUGGCCUGUCCAACUUGAGAAUGCGGAGAUAACCCUGUGUGUGCCUUGCCCCACCCUUCAGCUACCCCUUGGACUUGACCGACGUUGCCUCCGGCUGAGCUUGGAAACCAACAGCACCAACAGGCACGUAGUUAACUGGUAAGGAUUUAUGUCAUGUUAGUUUGGAUUCAUUUAGCUGCAUGUAACAUAAAAUAAGCAUAAAUGGAUAAAAAAGAGAAUAACAUCUAUUUUUCCCUCAUAGAACCAUAAUCCAGAAGUGGGGAAUCCAGGGCUCUUAUGGAGAUUCCAUGGUGUCAUUAGGGAACAGCCUUCUAAUUUUCUGCUCCUGUAAAUGACUUCUCUGUUGAGCGUUAACUCAGGGCCUGAUAGAGCUGCUGGAAUGCCAACCAUCACAGUCACGGUCAAUUUAGACAAAGGAAAAAGUGCACAUUCAUAAUUUCCUAUUGGCUGUCUUCCAGGAGCCUUCUUGGAUUCCUGCACACUUUGACUUCCUUCUCUGCUAAUUGGCUGAAACUUAGCUACACAGCAGCUCUGAAUUCCAGGACAGACGGGGGCAUGGAGUUGGAGUCUGUUCUGCAUGGCAAUCAGCCCAGCUAAAACCCAGCCACAAAGCCAAGGCUGGCCAUCUCCACCACACCCGGCAGACCACUCGAGCGCCCGUGGAACCACAGUGGACCACGGUCCGAGAUUUCUCUGCUGUCUUGCUCCAGUGUGUGACCUCAUGUCAGUCACUGACUUCUCUGGUCUCCUCUCAGAUGAGUGUAACCUGCCUGUUUCACACAGGGGUACAAGUCAGUACCCAUAGCAAAGGGCCACUCCAGCUCAGCCACGUUCUCAGGCAGGGCUGCCGUGUCUGGUUGAACAGAAGUGGCUGCCCCAGGUCCAGCGGUUGAGUUGUCCUGCACAAGGACGUGGGCUUUCCCCCCAGGUAGAUUCAUGGCCCCAUUCUACAGAGAAGGAAACCGAGUCCUGGAGCAGUUGCACAGCUCACUGGUGUGCACAGAAGCGAGCGGCAGGCUGGGAUCUGUGCUGGGGUUCUCCUGGCUCCCCACCACCUCAUCCACGCUGCCUCCCUCAGGGCAUGACUGUCCUCACAGGCUCCGUCCUCUCGGAUCCCAGGGUAUUUCAAAUAUUCUGUUUUCUCAUCAGAUCAUUCGUCAGACAUUUGGUCACAACCUGUGAUUUUGAAAUUGGUUUCUGCCACUGUCCUCUCCAGGUGAAGCACUGGGUCACCCAGCGCCACCCCUGGUGGCCCUGUGUCUUUCAGGGCAUAUCACCUGUUCUUCAUCAUUCCCUGAGAGCAAGACAGUAAAAGUCUAUGCCAGCCUUUAGUGUAGUCUGAAAUGUCAAGACUCUACCAAUUGGGAGUAAAUGUGGCUCCAAGUGACUGAAAACUCAGCAAACCACAGUUCAGUGAGGGAGAGGUUUAUGGGGCCUCAGUCAGGCAGGCCAGGGCUGGACUGGUGAUGAGAACCCUGGCUCUUUCCAUCCUCCCUAGCCCCUCAUCUUCAGCACCCACCUCUGACUUCACAGUUAGGAAAUGGCUGCUGGUCCUUCAGGCAUCAUGUGGGGAUUCCAGACAGCAGGACAAGUCAGGAAAGCACAAACGGCCGAGGUGGCUUACUGACAGCACACCAGGCCCUACGCAGUAAUGACCACUAAUGGUGGUCCCAUUAGCCACCACUGCAGGAGGCCUGCAAGGUGCCUGGACAUCAGGGGCUCUAACUGCAUGGCUUUGCCGAUGUCGCUCUAUGUCCGGCAUGGCCAGCUGGGCCUGCGCUGGACACAGCCCUCAACCAGCAGGUCCUUGGACUCGAGCUCAGCCAAUUCCCUGCACAGGAAUGUAUCAAGACUUUGAUGACCAAAGAAUUAUAGAUUCAUAGACUCCACCUCAAUCUUCCCUUUUCUAGUCAGGAAAAUUCUCAUACUUGACUCUGAUUUAUGACGUGUGUACUGGUGGCCAACACAACGCCAAGCGCAUCACACAUGGCAAUCUCCAAUCCCAAGGUAACCGGCAAUGCUGGGAAUAUGGCCUCGUUUAUUUUAUAGAUGGGAAAACUUAGGGUUUAUUGAGAUUGAAUGAUUUCUCCAAAUUGAUUUAAAUAAAAACAGUCUAGAUUCAAACUCAGGUCUAUCUUAUUAAAAAACCAUGAGCUUCUCACUAAAUAUGUUUCUUUUUAAAAUUUUUUUAUUCUAAUUUGUUAUGUAUGACAGCAGAAUGCAUUAUAAUUCAUAUUACACAGAGCACAUUUUUUCAUAUCUCUGGUUGUAUACAAAGUAUAUUUACACCAUUUGUGUCUUCAUACAUGUACUUAGAGAAAUGAUGUCCAUCUCAUUCCACCGUCUUUUUUACAUCCUUUGCCCCCUCCCUCUUCUUUGCCCUAUCUAGAGUUCAUCUAAUCUUCACAUGCUUCCUCACCCCGAACCCAACCCUGAAUCAGCCUCCUUACAUCAGAGAAAACAUUUGGCAUUUGCUUUUGGGGGGAUUGGCAUCAUAUUAGCAUUAUAUUCUCCAACUCCAUCCAUUUACCUACAAAUGCCAUGAUUUUAUUCUUUUUUAAUGCUGAGUAAUGUUCCAUUGUGUAUAUAUACCAAAGUUUCCCUAUCCAUUCAUCUACUGACAGGUAUCUAGGUUGGUUCCACAAUUUAGCUGUUGUGAAUUAUGCUGCAAUAAACAUUGAUGUGGCUGUGUCCCUGUAGUAUACUGU